rnacentral:rRNA from 1 species
GCCUACGAUCAUACUACGUUGAAAGCACCGCAUCCCGUCAGAUCUGCGCAGUUAAACAACGUUAGGCCGCAUCAGCACCUUGGUUGGUGGCGACACUAUAAUAACCAAAAUCGUUUUCU